rnacentral:rRNA from 1 species
AAGUGGUGCGACGAACCAGAGCUUGCUCUGGGGCAAAGCCGCGAACGGGUGAGUAACACGUGGGUAAUCUACCCCGAUGACCGGGACAACCCGAGGAAACUCGGGCUAAUACCGGAUGUGGUGUACUGGCAUAAGCCGGUCCACUAAAGGUAGCUUCGGCUUCCGCAUGGAGGGCCGCGCCAUAGCUUGUGUGGGUCAAGGCCUACCAAGGCAACGAUGGGUAGCUGGUCUGAGAGGACGAUCAGCCACACUGGGACUGAGACACGGCCCAGACUCC